ACAACAGGUGGAGCCUGCGGUUUAAUCGGACUCAACGCCGGGAAACUCACCAGAUAAGACAGCUGAAUGAUAGUCGGGCUGAAGACUCUACUUGACUAGCUGAGAGGAGGUGCAUGGCCGUCGUCAGUUCGUACUGUGAAGCAUCCUGUUAAGUCAGGCAACGAGCGAGACCCACGCCAACAGUUGCCAGCUCGUCCUCCGGGAUGGUGGGGACACUGUUGGGACCGCUCUGCUAAAGAGGAGGAAGGAAUGGGCAACGGUAGGUCAGCAUGCCCCGAAUUAUCUGGGCUACACGCGGGCUACAAUGGGUGGGACAAUGGGUAUCGACACCGAAAGGUGAAGGCAAUCUCCUAAACCCAUCCGUAGUUCGGAUUGUGGGCUGCAACUCGCCCACAUGAAGCUGGAAUCUGUAGUAAUCGUGUCUCAAAAUGGCCCGGUGAGUAUGUCCCUGCUCCUU
rnacentral:rRNA from 1 species